rnacentral:tRNA from 1 species
GGGGCCGUAGCUCAGUUGGGAGAGCGCAGCGUUCGCAAUGCUGAGGCCAGGAGUUCGAUUCUCCUCGGCUCCA